GGAUCCCAUCAGAACUCCGCAGCUAAGCGUGCUUGGGCGAGAGUAGUACUAGGAUAGGUGACCUCCUGGGAAGUCCUCCUGUUGCACCU
rnacentral:rRNA from 1 species